rnacentral:rRNA from 1 species
UACGGAGGGGGCUAGCGUUGUUCGGAAUCACUGGGCGUAAAGCGCACGUAGGCGGACCAAUUAGUUGGGGGUGAAAGCCCGGAGCUUAACUCCGGAACUGCCUCCAAUACUGUUGGUCUUGAGGUCGAGAGAGGUAAGCGGAAUUCCGAGUGUAGAGGUGAAAUUCGUAGAUAUUCGGAAGAACACCAGUGGCGAAGGCGGCUUACUGGCUCGAUACUGACGCUGAGGUGCGAAAGCGUGGGGAGCAAACAGG